rnacentral:rRNA from 1 species
GAUGAACGCUGGCGGCGUGCCUAAUACGUGCAAGUCGAGCGAACAGAUAAGGAGCUUGCUCCUUUGACGUUAGCGGCGGACGGGUGAGUAACACGUGGGUAACCUACCUAUAAGACUGGAAUAACUCCGGGAAACCGGGGCUAAUGCCGGAUAACAUUUAGAACCGCAUGGUUCUAAAGUGAAAGAUGGUUUUGCUAUCACUUAUAGAUGGACCCGCGCCGUAUUAGCUAGUUGGUAAGGUAACGGCUUACCAAGGCAACGAUACGUAGCCGACCUGAGAGGGUGAUCGGCCACACUGGAACUGAGACACGGUCCAGACUCCUACGGGAGGCAGCAGUAGGGAAUCUUCCGCAAUGGGCGAAAGCCUGACGGAGCAACGCCGCGUGAGUGAUGAAGGUCUUCGGAUCGUAAAACUCUGUUAUUAGGGAAGAACAAAUGUGUAAGUAACUGUGCACGUCUUGACGGUACCUAAUCAGAAAGCCACGGCUAACUACGUG